rnacentral:rRNA from 1 species
CUUUACCUAGCGGCGGACGGGUGAGUAAUGCUUAGGAAUCUGCCUAUUAGUGGGGGACAACAUUCCGAAAGGGAUGCUAAUACCGCAUACGUCCUACGGGAGAAAGCAGGGGACCUUCGGGCCUUGCGCUAAUAGAUGAGCCUAAGUCGGAUUAGCUAGUUGGUGAGGUAAUGGCUCACCAAGGCGACGAUCCGUAACUGGUCUGAGAGGAUGAUCAGUCACACUGGAACUGAGACACGGUCCAGACUCCUACGGGAGGCAGCAGUGGGGAAUAUUGGACAAUGGGCGAAAGCCUGAUCCAGCCAUGCCGCGUGUGUGAAGAAGGUCUUCGGAUUGUAAAGCACUUUAAGUUGGGAGGAAGGGCAUUAACCUAAUACGUUAGUGUUUUGACGUUACCGACAGAAUAAGCACCGGCUAACUCUGUGCCAGCAGCCGCGGUAAUACAGAGGGUGCAAGCGUUAAUCGGAAUUACUGGGCGUAAAGCGCGCGUAGGUGGUUUGUUAAGUUGGAUGUGAAAUCCCCGGGCUCAACCUGGGA